GAAGAUUCGCCCAGAAGCAUGCGUGGAAGGAGAGAGACGCCUGGUACCCGAGCCCAGGAGCAUGGGGCUGGGAGGAAGAACCGGACACAAUUUCUACAUUUAUUAUCUGAAGAUGAUCUGUCUGAGAACGUGUCUCCCCCACCCUUAAUAGAGAAGGUCAAUUCUUUACGAUCAAAGGCGGAUCCCAGCAUGCUUUAAGAAAUAAAAAUUCAAGUAAAAUGGAGCAACAGGUUUACAUUAAAAGAAUAAACAGGGUCUGGAGAGAUCAGAGCACUGGCCGUUCUUCCCGAGGACUUGGGUACAGUUCCCAGCACCCACAUCAGACAGCUUACAACUUCCUGUCAGUCGAGCUCCAGGGGAUCUGACCGCUCGUUUGGGCCUCUGAGGUGACUGGCUUUGGAAUGAUGACCACAUCAUCAAUUCUAGACAGGAAGAUUCUUCAUGACAGGACUUCUAGAAGCUUCCAGGCCAUGCCACCUCGGCCUUAAAACUCCUCACCGUCCCAGGAGCUGAGUGGAAGGAGGAACCUCUCUUCCUCCGUGUGGUGGCCGUUCCUGGUUUGUCCACUUGACCACAUCUGGAAUGAACUACAAUCCGGAAAUGGAGGGGCUUACCUGUGAUCUUGUUCUUGAAGCUGGAAGACACAGGCUUCUGACCUGGAUUUUGACAUGGAGAUCUUGAGGCAUGGUGGCUAUGAAAAGCUCAGGCCCAGGCAAGGUAGUAUAGGCCUUUAAUCCCAG
rnacentral:lncRNA from 1 species